rnacentral:rRNA from 1 species
UACGAAGGGGGCUAGCGUUGCUCGGAAUCACUGGGCGUAAAGGGUGCGUAGGCGGGUUUUUAAGUCAGGGGUGAAAUCCUGGAGCUCAACUCCAGAACUGCCUUUGAUACUGAAGAUCUUGAGUCCGGGAGAGGUGAGUGGAACUGCGAGUGUAGAGGUGAAAUUCGUAGAUAUUCGCAAGAACACCAGUGGCGAAGGCGGCUCACUGGCCCGGUACUGACGCUGAGGCACGAUAGCGUGGGGAGCAAACAGG